rnacentral:rRNA from 1 species
UACGUAGGGUGCAAGCGUUUGUCCGGAAUUAUUGGGCGUAAAGGGCUCGUAGGCGGUCCAUCGCGUCGGGAGUGAAAAGCUGGGGCUCAACCCCAGUCCUGCUUUCGAUACGGGUGGACUAGAGGUAGGCAGGGGAGAACGGAAUUCCUGGUGUAGCGGUGAAAUGCGCAGAUAUCAGGAGGAACACCAGUGGCGAAGGCGCCGCUCUGGGCCGUGACUGACGCUGAGGAGCGAAAGCGUGGAUAGCAAACAGG